rnacentral:rRNA from 1 species
GACGAACGCUGGCGGCGUGCUUAACACAUGCAAGUCGAACGAGAACGGAUUAUAGCUUGCUAUAAUUGUCAGCUAAGUGGCGCACGGGUGAGUAAUGUAUAGGUAAUAUGCCUCUUACUAAGGGAUAACAAAUGGAAACGUUUGCUAAUACCUUAUACUCCUUAUUAACAUAAGUUAAUAAGGGAAAGAUUUAUUGGUAAGAGAUUAGCCUGUAUUGUAUCAGUUAGUUGGUGGGGUAAUGGCUUACCAAGACUAUGACACAUAACUGGUUUGAGAGGAUGAUCAGUCACACUGGAACUGAGACACGGUCCAGACUCCUACGGGAGGCAGCAGUGGGGAAUAUUGCACAAUGGACGGAAGUCUGAUGCAGCAACGCCGCGUGGAGGAUGACACAUUUCGGUGCGUAAACUCCUUUUAUAUGAGAAGAUAAUGACGGUAUUAUAUGAAUAAGCACCGGCUAACUCCGUGCCAGCCGCCGCAGUAA